rnacentral:lncRNA from 1 species
CACUUCCCACUUGGCUGGGAUAGGUCUUGCUAUAAGAUGUGAGGAAUGAUGACAGACAGGUGACCUGCUUUGGUUCCUGCAUAUGUAUCCAAACAUCACUGGCAUAUCAUCCCAAGGACCAUCCCUCCAAUUCUUGUCCAAAGACCCAAAGUAAUGACUUUGUGCAUUCAAAACUGUGAACCUGAAAAUAACAGAAUAUUUAACUUGGGUUAAAAAGUCAGCUUCACAAUACAAGUUUGAGGAGCAAUGUUUAAACAUCAGUUUGACCGGGCAAAAUUUUUCCAGGCCAAUGAAUCACUUCAGUAGAGAAUGUCCUAAUAUUAUUUUUUCAGUUAAACCUGUUCUCAUAUAUAGUACUGUCACCUUGCCAUCCUAUUAAAAAAAAGUUAAUUUGUUAUCUUCCUAUGAAUUAAUGUAUUUCUUUGAGAGAUAAGCAACUAGAAUUUCAAAUUAUUCCAAAAGUACAAGCAUACUACUUUAAAUAAAGAUA